rnacentral:tRNA from 1 species
ACUCCCGUAGCUCAGUGGACAGAGCACUCGCCUCCUAAGCGAGGAGUCGGCAGUUCGAGUCUGCCCGGGAGUGCCA